UACGUAGGGGGCAAGCGUUGUCCGGAUUUAUUGGGCGUAAAGCGCUCGCAGGUGGUCCGAUGCGUCGUGCGUGAAAGACCCCGGCUCAACUGGGGGAGGGUCGUGCGAUACGGUCGGACUGGAGGCCAGUAGGGGGAUGCGGAAUUCCGGGUGGUAGUGGUGGAAUGCGUAGAGAUCCGGAGGAACACCAGCGGCGAAGGCGGCAUCCUGGACUGGUCCG
rnacentral:rRNA from 1 species